UUGUAGCUAAGGGCGGCAGGCACCCAGUAACCGAAAGAUAUGUAAUAAUUAAUUUAAAAUGUGUGAGUGUGUGUGUGUGUCGAUCAUUAUGUAUUAGUAGGCGACGGCUGCCAUUUCACUUGCAUAAUAUUACGCGCGUCGUAUAGCACGACUUCAGUAGGCCCCGGCAACAGCAACAGCGAUCGCUAUCGGUGCCGUCGCCUUCGCCGUCGCCCACUCGCCCCGUGGUGGACUCUGUGCUGAAAGAGCCCAGCUUGUCUACUCACAGCGUAAAUUGUGCCAUGCUAGUGGAGCUGCUGCUCUGAUGCCACCGCCGCUGCUGCUGCUGUUGUUGCCGCUGCUCUUGCUUCCACUUAGAGCAAUUAUGUCCAUGGAUUGUGGUGUGUGCACCACAGGUUAAGCGCGGAAUUCGAUCAACUGUCUGUUUGUGCUAUGAUAGUCUGAAAUUUGAACGGUGUGUUCUCUCUGCGUGCGUUACUUUUUGUGUGAGCGCCUAAUUGAUUUUAAUUAAAAUUCACAAUCGCAGCAUAAAA